rnacentral:SRP_RNA from 1 species
GCCGGGCAUGGUGGCGGGUGCCUGUAAUCCCAGCUACUCGGAAGGCUGAAGCAGGAGAAUUGCUUGAACCUGGGAGGUGGAGGUUGCAGUGAGCCCAGAUCGUGCCACUGCACUCCAGCCUGGGUGACAAGAACAAGACUCUGUUAAAAAAAAAAAAAAAUCACAGGCCAAAAAAAGCUAUUGUAGGACCGGUCUGCCCAUCAUUGUGCUUUUUUGUUGUUGUUGUUAGAGAGGGACUCGCCCUCUGUUACCCAGGCUGGAGUGCAGUGGCACGAUCUCAGCUCACUGCAACCUCUGCCUCCUGAGUUUAAGCGAUUCUCCUGCUUCAG